rnacentral:sRNA from 1 species
UAGAAAUCGAUUUGCAUACCAAAAGUUG